UACGAAGGGGGCUAGCGUUGUUCGGAAUUACUGGGCGUAAAGCGCAUGUAGGCGGCGAUUCAAGUCGGGGGUGAAAUCCUGAGGCUCAACCUCAGAACUGCCUUCGAUACUGUCUUGCUAGAGUAUGGAAGAGGUAAGUGGAACUGCAAGUGUAGAGGUGAAAUUCGUAGAUAUUUGCAAGAACACCAGUGGCGAAGGCGGCUUACUGGUCCAUUACUGACGCUGAGAUGCGAAAGCGUGGGGAGCAAACAGG
rnacentral:rRNA from 1 species